UAGCGAAGGGGGCUAGCGUUGUUCGGAAUUACUGGGCGUAAAGCGCACGUAGGCGGACUUUUAAGUCAGAUGUGAAAUCCCGAGGCUCAACCUCGGAACUGCAUUUGAAACUGGGAGUCUAGAGAUCAGGAGAGGUUAGCGGAAUACCGAGUGUAGAGGUGAAAUUCGUAGAUAUUCGGUGGAACACCAGUGGCGAAGGCGGCUAACUGGACUGAUACUGACGCUGAGGUGGCGAAAGUGUGGGGAGCAACAGGAGUU
rnacentral:rRNA from 1 species